rnacentral:lncRNA from 1 species
GUUCCUGUGUGAAGGGGCUGAUGUUGGAAACGUUACACUGAAUGCACUGCAAGGGGAUUAAACUAAGAAUGAGAGAAGGGCUUCCUUCAGCUACAGACGGUGUUUUUACACUUGGAGUUACUGUGGAAGAGCUGUUCCUUCUUUAAGCUUACAUCUUACCAUGCUCUGCAAUAACGUUUGUGUGUACACAAGCCAUCAGACCCAUUCAUGGAACCCUGUAUUUGAAAACCUUCUGCUCCUAAAUCAUGUAAUUAUUAUAAUAUGAACUAAUUUUCAGGCUCAUCAAAGGGGCUGAAGAUUACAUAAGCAUUGGAGGCUGUACCAGUUAUCCCCAGGAGACACAUCCUUCUCAGACUCAGUGCAUCACCCUGUCUUCAGGACAUCCGUUCCCAGCCACCCAUCUCCUAAAAAUCUCCCUGUCAUCUUUGUCUUUGUGUCUGUCACCACUAGAGGUGAUGUUUAGACUCGCACUGCCCUGUCAUGUUCAGACCAUCAGCAGCUCCUGCUCUGUGUCCUUCCUGUCUGCCUUUUGGUCCUUCACCACAAGCAUCAAGCUGGCCGCACCUUGUGACACUGCACAACUCAGUCUCUUCCCAGUCCCUGUUUUCCUCCUCUUCUCCUCUCUUUGAAGGUGAUAGCUCCCCUCUUGGCUGAAUGCAUAUGUCCCUAUUAGUGCUGUGCUGACAUGAGCCAGUAAAAUGUUGAAAAUAUUAAAAAAGGCCAACGAUUUUCAGGAACUACAAAGCACUGAAGACCAGCUACCACCACUAGCAUGUGGUCAGAUGGGGUGGAAGUGGCUUGUAAUACUGUUGUGAAUACUGAGACAUUCACCACUCUAUGAGUGCUAUUUGGCCACCACUUGCUAGCAAGAGUGAAGACACAGACGUUGAGUUGAGGCAAGAACAGCCAAUGUCUGGAAAUUGCUAUCAGAGACUUCUGAUGGAGAAAACUGGCUAAAAGAGACAGAGAAAUCUGAAACGGGGUUGCAUGCAACGAGGUUAUCCUUCAGCUGUGAUAUGCGGCAUGCUUAAAGUCAAAUAAAAGUUUCUAUUAUUGUAAAAUUUUCUUGUGC